UACGGGGGGGCAAGCGUUGUUCGGAAUUAUUGGGCGUAAAGAGCUCGUAGGCGGUGUGUCACGUCGGCCGUGAAAACCUGCAGCUUAACUGUGGGCGUGCGGUCGAUACGGGCAUCACUGGAGUUCGGCAGGGGAGACUGGAAUUCCUGGUGUAGCGGUGAAAUGCGCAGAUAUCAGGAGGAACACCGGUGGCGAAGGCGGGUCUCUGGGCCGAUACUGACGCUGAGGAGCGAAAGCGUGGGGAGCAAACAGG
rnacentral:rRNA from 1 species